rnacentral:rRNA from 1 species
CAUGCAGUCGAGCGGAACGAGUUAUCUGAACCUUCGGGGAACGAUAACGGCGUCGAGCGGCGGACGGGUGAGUAAUGCCUAGGAAAUUGCCCUGAUGUGGGGGAUAACCAUUGGAAACGAUGGCUAAUACCGCAUGAUGCCUACGGGCCAAAGAGGGGGACCUUCGGGCCUCUCGCGUCAGGAUAUGCCUAGGUGGGAUUAGCUAGUUGGUGAGGUAAGGGCUCACCAAGGCGACGAUCCCUAGCUGGUCUGAGAGGAUGAUCAGCCACACUGGAACUGAGACACGGUCCAGACUCCUACGGGAGGCAGCAGUGGGGAAUAUUGCACAAUGGGCGCAAGCCUGAUGCAGCCAUGCCGCGUGUGUGAAGAAGGCCUUCGGGUUGUAAAGCACUUUCAGUCGUGAGGAAGGURGUGUAGUUAAUAGCUGCAUCAUUUGACGUUAGCGACAGAAGAAGCACCGGCUAACUCCGUGCCAGCAGCCGCGGUAAUACGGAGGGUGCGAGCGUUAAUCGGAAUUACUGGGCGUAAAGCGCAUGCAGGUGGUUUGUUAAGUCAGAUGUGAAAGCCCGGGGCUCAACCUCGGAAUAGCAUUUGAAACUGGCAGACUAGAGUACUGUAGAGGGGGGUAGAAUUUCAGGUGUAGCGGUGAAAUGCGUAGAGAUCUGAAGGAAUACCGGUGGCGAAGGCGGCCCCCUGGACAGAUACUGACACUCAGAUGCGAAAGCGUGGGAGCAAACAGGAU